UACGGAGGGGGUUAGCGUUGUUCGGAAUUACUGGGCGUAAAGCGCACGUAGGCGGACUAUUAAGUCAGGGGUGAAAUCCCGGGGCUCAACCCCGGAACUGCCCUUGAUACUGGUAGUCUUGAGUUCGAGAGAGGUGAGCGGAAUUCCACGUGUAGCGGUGAAAUGCGUAGAUAUGUGGAGGAACACCAGUGGCGAAGGCGGCUUACUGGUCCGGUUCUGACGCUGAGGCGCGAAAGCGUGGGGAGCAAACAGG
rnacentral:misc_RNA from 1 species